AUUGAACGCUGGCGGCAGGCCUAACACAUGCAAGUCGAACGAGUGGCGGACGGGUGAGUAAUGUCUGGGAAACUGCCCGAUGGAGGGGGAUAACUACUGGAAAAGGUAGCUAAUACCGCAUACCAUCGGAUGUGCCCAGAUGGGAUUAGCUAGUAGGUGGGGUAACGGCUCACCUAGGCGACGAUCCUUAGCUGGUCUGAGAGGAUGACCAGCCACACUGGAACUGAGACACGGUCCAGACUCCUACGGGAGGCAGCAGUGGGGAAUCUUGCGCAAUGGACGCAAGCCUGAUGCAGCCAUGCCGCGUGAAUGAAGAAGGUUGUCGGGUUGUAAAAUACUUUCAUCGAGGAGGCGGUAUUCGCAGAGGAAGCACCGGCUAACUCCGUGCCAGCAGCCGCGGUAAUAC
rnacentral:rRNA from 1 species